GAUUUCAACUGAAAAAGUCACCAACAACAAAGUUGUAUAACUCAUCAAGAUCUAUAACUUUUAUUUUGGUCAUUUCUUCAUCUGACAAAGUGAUAAUAACAUUGUUCAUAAAAUUCACAUAUCUCUCAUCUGGUUUAUAAACUAUAACACAGAUAUGUAAAUUUUAUGAACAAUAUUACUAAUACUUUAUCAGAUGACAAACAUAAAAGUUAUCCAAAAUAAAAGUUAUAGAUCUUGGUGAGUUAUACAACUUUGUUGUUGAUGACUUUUUUAGUUGAAAUC
rnacentral:pre_miRNA from 1 species